GCCUCUAUAGAUCAGUGCUAGAUCGCCUCCACAUUGUUUGCGAGUCCCAUUUGAUCGUAGGUUUCGGAGGAGAUGUAGGUUCAAUUCCUACUAGGGGUC